UGGGCACUAGAUUUGCCCUUUUCAAGUCUUCUGGAAUCUCUCUCGCCUUUCACGACUUCAAAGAUACUCGCUAGUGGCUCCGAUAUCUCCCCAGUCACGCCCCGAGUAUUCUAGGAGGCAUUUCAUCCGGCCCUGGUGAUUUGAAGACAUCUAACUUGUCUACGUAAUUUUUUUGACUUGUUUUUUCCCUCUUUUAGACUCUGAUUCUCACUGGCAUUUACUACGUUCGAUGUCCACUCGCCACCAACCUUUCUUGGUGAAACCCGAAACAAAGACGUCAUUACGCACCUCUGCCAUUUCCACAAUUUCUGUUACGGUCUUUCCUCCCCUCCCCUGAGUAAUGGGCCUA